AAGCAUGUAGCUCAGUGGAUAGAGCAUCAGAUUCCGAUUCUGAAAGUCAAGGGUUCGACUCCCUUCAUGCUUA
rnacentral:tRNA from 2 species